UACGAAGGGGGCUAGCGUUGUUCGGAAUUACUGGGCGUAACGCGCACGUAGGCGGAUACUUAAGUCAGGGGUGAAAUCCCGGGGCUCAACCCCGGAACUGCCUUUGAUACUGGGUAUCUCGAGUCCGGAAGAGGUGAGUGGAAUUCCGAGUGUAGAGGUGAAAUUCGUAGAUAUCAAGAGGAACACCUGAGGUGAAGACGGGUUGCUGGGCUGACACUGACGCUGAGGCGCGAAAGCCAGGGGAGCAAACGGG
rnacentral:rRNA from 1 species